CAGACUUUCAUCCUUUUCUACGCUGUAUGUAAAAGAAGACGGGGACCCCGGAACUCAACUCUACUCCAUCCUUCCCUGCUUGGUGUGCAACAGCACCUGUAUACAAAGGGAAGAAGCAAAAAACUGAACCACAGUCAAUGGAAUGGAGGAUUGUAUGGAGCUGUGGUCCACCAGGUUCACCUAAUCCCUCAGUGACCUACAGCCUCUCAGUCACCCAGAGAAGAAUUUCUGUGAUCUGUGUAACUCAGCAGAGGUCAAUAUAAAGCAGGAUGGAGGCUGAGAGUAAAAACUGUCCUUGCUGUAAUAUUAUCAAACCGUCCUUGAUGGGGUGUGGUUACCUGGAGAAGACUCCUGUGUGAGCACUUUGGAAGCAGAGGCAGAGAGGGAGGAAGAUCCCUGUGAGUUGGAGUCCAGCAUGGUCUACAGAGUGAGAUCAAGGACAGACUCUGGGACUCCAUAGAGCAACUCUGUUUCUAACAAAAGCCUAGUGAUGCACCUGAAGCAGGUCCUGAGAAGGUGAACACUGCUGUGCGGUGUUCAUGAUUGUCAUGGCCAUGUCAUAACCAGGAGACAGCAUUUCAUUACAUUGCUCUUCUGGACCUUAGAAUCUUUGCCCUCUCCUCCCAGUGUUCCUGUGUCUUGAAGAACAUAUAAUAGAUGUCAAGUUUGGGUAUCCAGACAUAAUGGUCAAAUAUUCCAAGCACUUUGAACACUUGAGAAUCUCUGCAUGAAACAUUGCCCUCCAUUAAGAAGUUAUUCUGAUCUAGGCUGAACUAAAACUUGUUUGUGGUUUAAGCAUAAAUGUUUGGAAGGCAGAUUGACUAGUGUGUGAUUCACAAAACUGAACAAUCUUAGAGUCAGACUCUAUUGUUGAGCAAAGACAUAAUACAACCAUGACUAAUCCAUGUGCUACAUGGUUAAAAUAAAACUCCAAGUGUGCUGUCACACUCUCUAUGGAACCUUAAAUAUACUGUAAGAGAAGAAGGGACAAUGGUCUCCAUUGGAGCAGUUUGAGUGUUCUCUGAAGCCCUGCUUGGAGUUCGGCUUUUGUUUUAACAGCUGUGAUAAUUCCCACCACUGUGCCUUAAGACUUUUAAUGACUUUCUCAAUCCUCAAGUUUACUUCCUGAUAUGGUUCAUCUUGGGAAAAUGCACAUCUUCAGAAAUAGCUUUUACACUCUUAGCAUGCUAAAGUUAUCUGGGAGAGCAAAGUUUUCCUCUGGGUACAUCUAAGUAACGUCCAGUAAACAAGUUCAUUGGCGCCAUGGGUGAUAAGCUGGUCUAUGUCCACUGGGAGGAAGAGUCCUGUCAUCCAGCCUUGAUUUAGCCAUGCCUCCUGCUAGACACUAGACAGCCUUUUCAAGACACAUCCUAUCCAUGGGAUUCACACUGCCCUGAAGGGCUCCCAUGGCUCAGAGAUCAGAGCCAGAGGAAGGGCAUCUGGAUUCUUUCCAGCUUACUUCCAUUUGUGGUGAACAGCAGUUUAGAAGAGUGAGCCAAGAGUUCCUGCACCCAAAUCCCAUGGGGAAGAGAGCUGAACACCCUGGAGUGCAGACAUCCUGAGACCGCAGGACAAACUGCCACUUCUGCACACAUUUGCCCACAUCCGGUCCAAGGGGAAACCGCACAGUGCUUCUGGACACAGGAAUAUAGGAACAGUCAGCCGGCAGUAACUGCCAUUCUGGUUUGUGCUCAGGAUUGAACUGAACUUGCCAAACAGCUCCUUGCACCUAAUUUCCACAGGGGGAUAGAGUUGGACCCUCAGAAGUGUAGACACUUCUGAGAAGUCAGUGGAGACUACCCUCUGCCUACAUUACAGACCGAAGAGGGAAUCGCCUAGUGCCUACUUAAUCUUCUUAAUCAGUUUGUAAUAGAAUCUGUUAAAAGGACCAACACUAAGCCUUAUAUUCUUGAAUGAGUUGUUGGAAUGGAUUACUAAAUUUGCCCUUAAACAAAACAUUUUAUAGUCAUAAUCUUACUUUGGUAAAAAAAAUCUUUAAAUUUUGAUACAAAAUUGAGGUUAUAUUUUCUUACAGUGGUGCAAAAUUUCUAUGUUGAUAAAAAUUUAAAGUUUCCAUUGAUAGAGAUCUUUUUAUAUUCAUAUAAAAUUUAAAAUUAAGUUUGUUACUCUUAGGCAUUCUGCCUAUACAACUCAUUCUUUUUUUUUUUCCAUGUGGAGAGGUUUAAUGAGAGAAGAAGAGGAGAGGAGAGGAAAGGCCGGCCAUGAGCACGUGGAGGGAAGGGGUGGGGGUAGAGAGAAAGGACAGGGAAGAGAGGAAGAGCAGGGAAGAGAAGAGAACAAAGAGAACAACUCAUUCUUUAAGUAGUUCAAAUGAUGGCCCCUCACACUAGAAAAACUUGACUGUCCUAGAAACUCGGACCAAAGCAGAGAUUUAUAGUGUGUAAGGAGAAUUCAGACCAGCACAUUGGGAAAAGUCUAAUAGACCCUGUCAGGAUAAAAGAGACUGUUGAGGAAUCCAUAGAUAACCUUCAAAGAAUAAAUGUUUGUAUUUUAGGCAAUCAAAAUAGUUAGAUUAGUGUAGGAUUAAGUCUCAAGUUGUUAUACAGCAACUCCACACACAUACAACAAGAUCCGCAGAGCAUGGGUGGCAUAAUAAUGUUGUGAAGUUCAUGGUCAAAGUUCAUGAAUCUUAUAUCAUUUCCAUCCUCUUUGUAACUGUGUUCUUGAGAAUUCUGGCUCUUUAACAUUAAUGCAAAAUUUCAUGUGGAAAUAGGAUUCAUAUGUUGCAAUAACAAUAUAAUGUAUAUGUAUAUAUUAUAUAUAUUAUUUAUAUAUGUAUUAGAGUGGGUUUAUCAAUCAGAACCAGCCUUAUUGAUUUGGUUACUGAAUAUCACAGAAAACACAUUUUUAUGAAGAUGUGCUCAAGAAUGUGGCAUAUAUAGUUUUCUACCCUGGCCUUUGUGUUCUGCCUAUUGGCUACUCAGUUCUAAGUUGUGAGCAAAAUAAAUAUAUAAAAUCAAAUGAAAUGCCUCAGAACAUUGCUGGUUAGCCUGUAGGGUAGAAUGAGAGGCAAAGAGUCUCACAUGGAAAGCCCAAGAAUUUAGUCAUCA
ensembl:lncRNA